AAUGUCGGUCCGGAGUCAAUGGGUUAUCAUUUCAAACCCUCCCAUUGGCACUAACUUGACCGUUGU
rfam:Caenorhabditis remanei strain PB4641 contig195.2, whole genome shotgun sequence.